rnacentral:rRNA from 1 species
UACAGAGGUCUCAAGCGUUGUUCGGAUUCAUUGGGCGUAAAGGGUGCGUAGGUGGCGCCGUAAGUCAGGUGUGAAAUCUCGGGGCUCAACCCCGAAACUGCACUUGAUACUGCGGUGCUCGAGUACUGGAGAGGAGAUUGGAAUUUACGGUGUAGCGGUGAAAUGCGUAGAUAUCGUAAGGAAGACCAGUGGCGAAGGCGGGUCUCUGGACAGUUCCUGACGCUGAGGCACGAAGGCCAGGGGGAGCAAACGGG